CUUGUUGGGUUCAGCGGCGAUGGUGCUACAAGUCGAGUUUUAUCAGAUAACUUGCAUGCAUUUGAAACCGAGUUAAAGAUAUAAACUUGGCUUGUCGCACCAUAGCCUAGGAAUCAUCAAG
rnacentral:pre_miRNA from 1 species